CAAUGUUUGUGCAGAAACAGUUUGUGGUUUUGAUCCUUUUUCUACUCAAACGUAAAUAAAUAAAGAAUUAGUUUUCAUUUUAGCGACUACAAGUUGUUUUCUUAACGUUUCCCUCACGUGGCCAUGUGCUCAUUAGCAGCACCCGGAUGGGAGUGACUACACCUGGGACCCAAUUACCUCAUCCUGCUACAUUUACAACCCCAUACCUGGGCCUGCUGUCAACAGGGUGCAGCUUCCCCCCUCCUUCACAACGCUGGAAAAAUCCAGAACAUUCCAAAUAAAACAGCAGCAUCGUGUUGUUCGUCUUGCAGACAUCCAUUUCCGCUAUAGCAAGGCUAACCCUGUGACCGUCAGCGCCGGCGUGUUUGCAAAGAGCAGACAGGAAGGGGUUGUGAGGAAGUUGGAGGAAUUUCCCGCUAGGAGACGGUUUGUGCUGCAAGACUUGAACAGGACGACCUGUGCCUCCUCCGUCCCCCCCGUGUCCUGAUGCACGGCAACUCCAUACCUGGGCCUGCUGCCAAACAUCACCAUGAGGAAGCUGGUGCUGCCGUGCAACCUACGAGGAAAAAUCCACCUCUAUGUGACUCAGAGUUUCCCUGGCUUUUCUGGGGAACAGUGGCACCGGAUCAACAUCAACGCGAGACUGAGGUGCCUUUGGGAGGUUGAACCAGAGACCCAGCGUUUUGGGUUCUCUGACCCCUGAAGGCCCCCCUUACAGAUCUGCUGGAAGAAACAAUUGCACUGUUCUAAGCCAGCCUGAAGACGGCAGCGUCCUCCAGAGAGGAAUUUAUCGAAGAGUGGAUGGGAACAGUUUCUGCAUCAGCCGGGUCAGACUUUAGGGAAUCUUUAAGAAAGCUGCCGCUGUUCUCAUCCCACAGGAGGUGUGUGUCAGAGGCUGGGCUUCUCCCUACCAGGUCCCGCCACUCAGACAGAAAGUAAAACGGCUUCACUGACCCAUAUAUGAACCACACUCACUUUGAGAACUCACUUUAUAUUUCACUUUUUUUUAAAUUGAUGGCCUUUAAAUACUGAUGAACAAGAAACAGAAGCGCAGCAGAAACAACUCAAAUGUGAUGUUUUAUUCUGAAAACAAUGAAAACAAUGAAGGAUAAAAAGGAUACAAAAAAAUUGAA